rnacentral:lncRNA from 1 species
GCAUCCUUUGAAAUUUUCACUAUUUCAAUAUGAGAUGGGCCAAAUUUGAUGUCAUGAAUCACCUGAGGCCUCCUUAUAAAUGCCAAAACCACACCCACCACAAAUAUAAUGAAAGCUGAGGGAAUACUGGCUAUGAUUUUCUUCAAUCUCCUGCUUCUUCUGGUUCUCUCUCCAUCACAAUUACUCUCCUCUUCUUCCCUUUCCUCACCUGAGCCAUUAACAAGAAUUAUGAAACAAGCACAGACAAUAGCCAAAACCAACCCAUCU